rnacentral:tRNA from 1 species
UCCUCAAUAGCUCAGCAGGUAGAGCAUCCGACUGUUAAUCGGUAGGUCAUUGGUUCAAGUCCAAUUUGGGGAG